CUUGUUGGUGAGGUAACGGCUCACCAAGGCGACGACGGGUAGCCGGCCUGAGAGGGUGACCGGCCACACUGGGACUGAGACACGGCCCAGACUCCUACGGGAGGCAGCAGUGGGGAAUAUUGCACAAUGGGCGCAAGCCUGAUGCAGCAACGCCGCGUGAGGGACGACGGCCUUCGGGUUGUAAACCUCUUUUAGUAGGGAAGAAGCGAAAGUGACGGUACCUGCAGAAAAAGCACCGGCUAACUACGUGCCAGCAGCCGCGGUAAUACGUAGGGUGCAAGCGUUGUCCGGAAUUAUUGGGCGUAAAGAGCUCGUAGGCGGUCUGUCGCGUCUGCUGUGAAAACCCGAGGCUCAACCUCGGGCCUGCAGUGGGUACGGGCAGACUAGAGUGCGGUAGGGGAGAUUGGAAUUCCUGGUGUAGCGGUGGAAUGCGCAGAUAUCAGGAGGAACACCGAUGGCGAAGGCAGACCUCUGGGCCGUAACUGACGCUGAGGAGCGAAAGGGUGGGGAGCAAACAGGCUUAGAUACCCUGGUAGUCCACCCCGUAAACGUUGGGGACUAGUUGUGGGGUCCAUUCCACGGAUUCCGUGACGCAGCUAACGCACUAAGUUCCCCGCCUGGGGAGUACGGAAUCUCUAGAGGAUCCC
rnacentral:rRNA from 1 species